UAUAAAACAUACCUGAAGAACAGGUAGCUGUGUGUUAUUCAUGAUAAUAGCCCGUAGCUGGGUGUUAUUCAUGAUAAUAGCCCGUAGCUGUGUGUUAUUCAUGAUAAUAGCCCGUAGCUGGGUGUUAUUCAUGGUAAUAGCCCGUAGCUGGGUGUUAUUCAUGAUAAUAGCCCGUAGCUGUGUGUUAUUCAUGAUAAUAGCCCGUAGCCGGGUGUUAUUCAUGAUAAUAGCCCCCCGUAGCUGUGUGUUAUUCAUGAUAAUAGCCCGUAGCCGGGUGUUAUUCAUGAUAAUAGCCCGUAGCUGUGUGUUAUUCAUGAUAAUAGCCCCCCGUAGCUGGGUGUUAUUCAUGAUAAUAGCCCGUAGCUGGGUGUUAUUCAUGAUAAUAGCCC
rnacentral:lncRNA from 1 species